UACGGGGGGGCAAGCGUUGUUCGGAAUUACUGGGCGUAAAGGGCUCGUAGGCGGCCAACUAAGUCGGAUGUGAAAUCCCCAGGCUUAACCUGGGAAUUGCAUCCGAUACUGGAUGGCUUGAAUCCGGGAGAGGGAUGCGGAAUUCCAGGUGUAGCGGUGAAAUGCGUAGAUAUCUGGAGGAACACCGGUGGCGAAGGCGGCAUCCUGGACCGGCAUUGACGCUGAGGAGCGAAAGCCAGGGGAGCAAAACGGG
rnacentral:rRNA from 1 species